rnacentral:rRNA from 1 species
UACGUAGGGGGCGAGCGUUAUCCGGAAUUAUUGGGCGUAAAGCGCGCGCAGGCGGCCGAUUAAGUCAGGUGUGAAAGGCUGCGGCUCAACCGCAGAGCGGCACCUGAAACUGGUCGGCUUGAGUGCAGGAGAGGGGAGUGGAAUUCCCGGUGUAGCGGUGGAAUGCGUAGAGAUCGGGAGGAACACCAGUGGCGAAGGCGGCUCUCUGGCCUGUAACUGACGCUGAGGCGCGAAAGCGUGGGGAGCAAACAGGAUUAGAUACCCUGGUAGUCCACGCCGUAAACGAUGAGUGCUAGGUGUUGGGGGGUUCCCCCCUCAGUGCCGAAGGUAACCCAUUAAGCACUCCGCCUGGGGAGUACGGCCGCAAGGCUGAA